CCUUCCUAACGAAAAGCUUCCAUCCUUUCUAGGGUUCAUCUGUGCCAUGAAUCAGCGCCGACCAACCUCUAUUCGAAGCUGCCGCCUCUAAUUAAUCGUUUGACAUUCUUGAUACUGGUUCUCACAAUCUAACACCAUUACAUAAUCCAGUGCAUCCAAUCGUCGUGAUUAAGCCUCUGACUAAAAGCACAUUCCGACUCUUCAUACCAUUUCACAUUCAAUAUACCCACUCAUAACUUCUACGGAGUGAAUCUAUAAUCUAUAAAUAUGUGAGUUUUUUCCUUUUUUUUCUUAAUCUUCCUAAAACUUCCGUAAAACUUCCGAGUCGUCACCGUAGAGUAUCGAGUUUCUUCGAGCGGGAAGAGAGCUUCGCAGCAUAGUUUGUCAAACACUUCAUUGUCACUGAGAAAAAAAUAUGACAGAGGAGAGAGAAGAAAAGGCCGGUGAUUGCUUAUUUGAUGUUCGUAAAAGAUGCGCUUGGAUCACUCCGAGAUCUGACCAAUCUUGCAUUGCUUUCCAUGAUUAAGAGGGGGGAGCUCCUGUCCAUUAUGACAAGUACGUGAUGAUAUCUCUUUUACUGAUUAUUUUUGCUUAGUCUGUGAUAUGCUAUUUGUGUAUUAUAAACGCUCUUAUUUGUCAAACUGCUUGCAUAAAAAUUUCCGAGUUAUUAAGCCUCUCUGGUGUAGUUCCGGAACUAUCCUGGAAAUACAUUCUUUUCAAAAGCCAACCAUUCAGGUAACUAUGAAGUAUCACCAAUGCAUUUUUUGUAAGAUAAUCUUCUUAUAAGCCAAAUUUCAAAGUGCUUAAUCUUUAUUGAAAUAGAGAAAUUUUCAUGGAAUUUGAUUCAAUUCUUACAUCUGAACAAACAAACAAAAAAACGAGAAAAUCACCUGAGUUGCUACCACCCCAUUACUAUCCAUGAUCCAAGGCUUAAUGAUUUGCUUUUUUUUUUCCUUGACAGUAGUUCUCUGGUUACUACAAACUUUGUCACUACAUUUUAAAAGCUUUGGUAAACAGCAUAGCUUUUAAAUAAAUAUAUAUAGAUGACUGUGCCUUAGGUAAUUGUGCAACCGUUCUUAAGAUCUUAGUGGAUUGACGUACAUGUGUUGCUUUUUCGUCCGUGUAGGAACAAUAACACUCCGCUAGACUUGAAAAUGGUUGCAGUCGACCAGGUUAAAGUACUUGACUGCUUGUGAUAGACUUAUCAAUUUAAGAAUUAAUCAGUUGGUACAGCCAUUUGAACGUAUUUGACACAAGUAUCGGGUGCUUAAUCUUUGGCAAUCAACUUGCUUGGUUGGCUGUUAGUAAAACUGAGACAUGCUUCACUCACAGCGACUUGGGAAGUUUACAGGUUAAACACAGGUAUAGAGUGGCACACUCCCAUCCUUUUGGCUUUCCACAGGAGAGGACAUUCGGCUGAAGAAGCUGCAAAGGAAACAGAUGCAGAACAGGCAGUUUCAAAGGUAGAAGCUGCCAUGACAGCGGCUGAAAAAGCUGCAAAGGAAACAGAUGCAGCAGAAGCUGCUCGAGCUUAUGCUGAAGAAGCUUCAAAGACACUGAAAGGAAAAAGAACAUCUGCAAAGUGACGAAGAAGAAGAAGCUAAAUGUGUUGCAGGUGAUGAGAGAGAGAGAAGCGCAGAAGUAGUGUUUGUCUGUUGAUGAUUUUCCACUUAGAAACUCUUUUUAGUUGAAAAGCAGUAAUCACAGAUGCUAAAGCAAAAAUGAGUUCCUCCCUUGAUAUUCAACCAUACCAAAAAACAACAUAAGUUUGAGUUUACAUCUUUACAUGCUUUAAACCAAUAAAAUAGAAUUCUUAUCUUACGGUAAGACAUUAAUUCCUUUAUCGCGUGACCAAUAAAAU